UACGAAGGGGGCUAGCGUUGUUCGGAAUUACUGGGCGUAAAGCGUGCGCAGGCGGCUUCUCAAGUCAGGGGUGAAAGCCCAGAGCUCAACUCUGGAAUUGCCUUUGAGACUGAGUGGCUUGAGUACGAGAGAGGUGAGUGGAAUUCCCAGUGUAGAGGUGAAAUUCGUAGAUAUUGGGAAGAACACCGGUGGCGAAGGCGGCUCACUGGACGACAACUGACGCUGAGGCGCGAAAGCGUGGGGAUCAAACAGG
rnacentral:rRNA from 1 species